GACUGGCAGUUGUUAACUAGGCGAACAUUUAUUAUUGUCUAGUGCCAACAAGAAAACAGACAUGUUUGACAGGGAAAACCCGCCCAUGUGGGUGAGUUUGCGGCUCGAAGCUCCGCCUUAGUGGGUGCCCUUUUUGCUGUUGUGUCUUGCAUACCAGGAUUCGACUUGUACGGUGUAGUUAAUGAGUUGCUCUAGCGUAGGUGGCAUGAUUGUCUCUCAUAUUAUUGGCAUUACGGACCUGAUUGUUAGCCGUUCAAUAGCCCAACAUGACAUUUCAAAGGGCAGCGAUAAUUCGGUGUCCUUUGCUCUGCUAAAAAUGAAAAACUUCACGUUAUUAUUUCUUAUUUCUGUUUGCCUUGGUCGUUUACAGUGAACGAGCCAAGCGAGUAGUCGUAUUUCGGUACUGAUCGACCCUGACACUACAGACGUUUCGGCUUGUUUGUGUUCUUGCCGCGCUGUCCUCUUCAGGGUUUCGUGUAGCAAGCUUCUGAAAAACUAAUUCUGCUGUUAUAUGGUGUACAUGACAACUUAUAAUUAUCCGACUUCAAAACUAGAUAAUGAUUUGUGUUAUUGAUUUGUGUUAUUGCUUAUUGUCUUCUGGUUAAUACUAUUGUUAGUUUUUCUUGGUUUAACAUUCGCCUCGUUCAGUGUUUUCCGCUUGUUCGCAAAUUUCGCGAAAGUAAACGAAGGCUAGAGAAGAUGAUAUUUUGGAGCCGAGAUUCUCGCGGAAGCCAUUCAGCUGUCAGAGGAGAAAUUUUUCAAGCGUGGUGAUUAGUGUUGGUUGGUUAUGUUGAGAUUGAUUGAUGUCGGCAAAUAACACAUGCAUACAGAUGUAUUUAGUUAUAAUUCAAUCGAUUAUCCGACAAUUAGCGAGUCAGCUCAUUCAAUUAUUGAGCGAUUGUUAUAAGGACUUCAAGGACAUCGAAUUUGUGAAUGCACCGAUUGCCUUGUUGUAAGCAAGCAAUCGUUUGUUGUUUUUUUUACUGGAGAAUGAAUAUUAUAGGGGAAAAGGCGUUUGCACUCAUUAUUCGUGUUAGUUUUAAUGGGUUGAUGAACUAAAAUCUUAAACAAAUAGAGAAAAAGCCGGUUUUAAACCGAUUAUAUCUUGACUAUACAAGUUGUUUAUGUAUUAAAACAAAAGAGUACACGGCAAUAAAAUAACACCAACUGCAUCGCACGUGUUAUGGUUGAGAUAAACGUUCUCUGGUUUGUAUUAAUCGAUUUAAAACGCCUAGAACAUUUUCAAAAUAGUGAAUUUUCAAGCUGCUUUUAGUCCCGUAGAUGAGUUGAACUUGGCCAAGCUUAAUAUUCGCUUUGUGUUACUAUCGCACUGCGUGUGAACAGUCUGGACUCAUGUCUACAUUUUAUGAUAAAUAGGUGUAUUUUCAAUAACGUUCAUGCUAUGUUUGCCCAUCCAAUCAUUUGUGCUAAAAAAUGGCUUGAUUAUAUAAUACUAGAGUGAACAGUUUAUAACAAGCAAGGAUUCCUAGCACGGCUAUGUCGAGUGUGGUCUGUUGGGAGCUGUAGUCUUGUUACUUAUCUCGAAGUGUAUUGUCUUAUGAAAUGACAGAGUCGUGCCCUUGAGAUACUUGGACUUUCUGUUGUGUUUUGGAUAAUAGCCUCAAAGAGAUAGCAUUCUAGUUGGUUCUAAAUGUAUUCAAAUAUUUCCAUGCUCGCAUCAUGGGAAACCCAGCGCGCGUGCGAAAACCUUUACAUGGCACACGACGGGUGAAACAACCCAAGCUACAAUCGAACAUUGAAUAAUAUCGUUAAGCCAUAAUGCGACAGGAACCUCUUCAAGCGUCAAUCAGGUGAAAGCAAAACAGGAAAAAGUUAGAAGUUUCAAGUGCUUCUAUCUACAGUUAGUGCUCUCGUGGCUAACAGAAGGUCAAGAGAUACCAAAUAAUCUUGCCACUUGUCAAAAGAAAAAAACUUAUUGACUUUAUUUAAAAAUAUCUCUUAAGAUUUUAGUUAGAAUUUUUUUAACUAAAAAUAAAAAAAGGGUUGCCAUGGCAACGUGAAAUUUCGAACAUAUAUGUACCAUAUUUAUACAAAAAAAAACUAUCAACGUUGUAGACUUUUCUUUUUCUAGACAUGAAGAGUGGCACUAAGGAAGCUUGUCUUUCAUGAAAAAACACAUGAAUGCAAGAUGAUGGCGAGGAGAAGAAGAAGGGUUUAACAACAUCCGCUGCGAGGAAAUAGCUGCAGUUUAUAAAAGACUCUAAAUCAAGAUUUCAUUCACUCCUAAUUUAAAUUAAAUUUGACUUAAAUUUAACAACACUGUGUAAAAAAAUUGAAUCAAAGUUAAGUAUAAUACACUUUUAAAGAUACAUUUAUAAAUACCAUAAAAUAAUUAAAUAAAUGGCCAAAAACAA